rnacentral:rRNA from 1 species
GACGAACGCUGGCGGCGUGCUUAACACAUGCAAGUCGAACGGAAAGGCCCUGCUUUUGUGGGGUGCUCGAGUGGCGAACGGGUGAGUAACACGUGAGUAACCUGCCCUUGACUUUGGGAUAACUUCAGGAAACUGGGGCUAAUACCGGAUAGGAGCUCCUGCUGCAUGGUGGGGGUUGGAAAGUUUCGGCGGUUGGGGAUGGACUCGCGGCUUAUCAGCUUGUUGGUGGGGUAGUGGCUUACCAAGGCUUUGACGGGUAGCCGGCCUGAGAGGGUGACCGGCCACAUUGGGACUGAGAUACGGCCCAGACUCCUACGGGAGGCAGCAGUGGGGGAAUAUUUGCACAAAUGGGGCGGGAAAGCCCUGAAUGCAAG